rnacentral:rRNA from 1 species
ACAGAGGUGGCAAGCGUUGUUCGGAUUUAUUGGGCGUAAAGGGUCCGUAGGUGGCCUGGAAAGUCGGAUGUGAAAUCCCACAGCUUAACUGUGGAACUGCAUUCGAAACUUCCAGGCUCGAGUGUGAGAGGGGCAAAGGGAAUUCCCGGUGUAAGAGUGAAAUCUGUAGAGAUCGGGAGGAACACCAGUCGCGUAGGCGCUUUGCUGGCUCACUACUGACACUGAGGGGCGAAAGCCAGGGGAGCAAACGG